rnacentral:snRNA from 1 species
UGCUUUGCGCAGUGGCAGUAUCGUAGCCAAUGAGGUUUAUCCGAGGCGCGAUUAUUGCUAAUUAAAAUGCUUAUGGUACCGCUCUUGACUUUUAUAAUGUAGGUAAUCACAAUCUUAUAAAACUCACAGUAUCUUCAGGGUUAAACUUCAAAUU